rnacentral:rRNA from 1 species
GACGAACGCUGGCGGCGUGCUUAACACAUGCAAGUCGAACGCUGAAGCUCAGCUUGCUGGGUGGAUGAGUGGCGAACGGGUGAGUAACACGUGAGUAACCUGCCCCCUUCUUUGGGAUAACGCCCGGAAACGGGUGCUAAUACUGGAUAUUCACUGAUCUUCGCAUGGGGGUUGGUGGAAAGGUUUGUUCUGGUGGGGGAUGGGCUCGCGGCCUAUCAGCUUGUUGGUGGGGUGAUGGCCUACCAAGGCUUUGACGGGUAGCCGGCCUGAGAGGGUGACCGGUCACAUUGGGACUGAGAUACGGCCCAGACUCCUACGGGAGGCAGCAGUGGGGAAUAUUGCACAAUGGGCGCAAGCCUGAUGCAGCGACGCCGCGUGAGGGAUGGAGGCCUUCGGGUUGUAAACCUCUUUCGCUCAUGGUCAAGCCGCAACAGUGGUUGUGGUGAGGGUAGUGGGUAAAGAAGCGCCGGCUAACUACGUGCCAGCAGCCGCGGUAAUACGUAGGGCGCGAGCGUUGUCCGGAAUUAUUGGGCGUAAAGGGCUUGUAGGCGGUUGGUCGCGUCUGCCGUGAAAUCCUCUGGCUUAACUGGGGGCGUGCGGUGGGUACGGGCUGACUUGAGUGCGGUAGGGGAGACUGGAACUCCUGGUGUAGCGGUGGAAUGCGCAGAUAUCAGGAAGAACACCCGUGGGCGAAGGCGGGUCUCUUGGGCCGUUCCUGACGCUGAGGAGCGAAAGCCUGGGGAGGCGAACAGGAUUAAGUACCCCUGGUGGUCCAAGGGCGAAUUCCACAGGGGAAUAUCAGGCUUAUCGAUCCUCUCCACCUGGAGGGGGGGGGCGGGUGCCGGCUUUUGUUCUCUUUCGCUACGGUUAUUGGCCCUGUUUUUUUCUGGUCUAACCGUUUCCAAGUUGGCGUGUGCAGA